CCCCCAACCUGCCCCCCAGUGUCGUCCCCCUGUCCACUGUGACUCUCCUGCCAGCACCGUCCCCUCCUCUCCCUUUGUAGGGCCUCAGCAGCCUCUUCAAGCCCCCCCAACGCCCUCCAGUGUCCCCCCAUCUGUUGUGACCCUCUCACCAGCCCCACCCCCAUCUGUGGGGAUCCCUUAGCCCCCAGCAUCCCCUCCCCCAUCGUGUACACUCUACCUGGCCUCUCCCUUCACCCCCGACCUCCUCCUCCCCCUUGUCCUCAGCACCCUAACACUGACAUCCUCUCACCCCACUCCCCACAUCCUCCUUCCUGUCCUCAGCACCCUGCCCCCCCUUCCUCCUCCUCCCCCCCACCCCAUCCUCAGCGCCCCACCCCUAAUUGCCUCCAACCCAUUUCUCAUUGCUGGGCCCCACUUUCCCAUCCUCCCACUCCCCCAGUCCAUCCCCAGGAUGUGAGGUUCCUCAUCUUCAAUCUCUGCUACACUCAAACCUGCCAGGUUCCCCUUUUCAACCACUGUGGGGUUGUCCAACCCGCCGACACCCAUCCACUCUGGGCUCUCUAAAUCCCACAUUCCCACAAUGCACCUUGGUAACGCCACUCUCCUCUAUCCCUAAUCCCUCUAUUCCCUUCCCUUAGGUCCUCCUGGACACCCCAGCCCACAGCCAGGCCUCCACAUACAUCCCAGUCAUUCACAUGCUGAGCUAGUUCUUCAGGGACCCCCACAGCCCAGCAAACUUCUCCAUCCAUGAGCUCCAUGGACCUGUGGCUGGGAAGGGAAAAGAAGUCGCGGGGAUGGAGUCCAGCCCUGAGGUGAGAUGGAAAGUGAUCGAGAGCAGUGACGGCGUGAAUCGUGUUGAUGCCAAGCAAGAGCUGCCCAACUUGGACGAGAGUAACCGUUUCGAGAUAGUUGGGAUUAUGUUUUCCAGUGUGCAUUACUUUGCACUUGACAGCACUGACGUUCAUCUGCCAUUUGGUUGUCCUGUCACCCAGUUUUGUGAGAUCUCUUUGUGGCUCUUCGCAGGCUGCCUGGGACUUAACUAUCCUGAGCAAUUUUGUAUCAUCUGCAAAUUUUGCCACCUCACUGUUUACCCCUUUCCCCAGAUGAUUUAUGAAUAAGUUGAAUGGUACUGCUCCCAGUACAGACACCUAGGGAUAAGAGAGGGAAGAUCCUCUUCUGACACUGGCAGACCAGGUGCCAGCUCAUGCCAAGGCCCCUAUGCCUUACUGAAAAGUGACAAACGCAUGGCUGGAAACUAGUCUUGCUCACUUGUUUGUUAGUGUUGUUAAAACAAGAAUUAGAUUCAUAAAAAUGUGUUUAGUGUUUAUGACAAGCUCGUGAGUUGCUGCAUGCAUUCUUCUCACCUAUAAUAGCCGUAGCCCAUGUGGUAAGGUGAUAUAUAAGCAUUGGCACUAAAGCUGUAAACCCCCUUGCCGCCACCAGUCAGGAGAGAAGCAUUACCAAGUGUGAAACGCUAGUUUACCAGAAGAGGCGUCAUCUCGUUUCCAACAAGAGAAGGCGCUGACUGAGACAUCAGACAAGCCACUGUCGAUCAUCUGUGGACAAAAGACUUGGUUGAUUGCUCGCCUCACACACCCACGAGGAGGCAGAGACCAGCACAAACACUUGCCCCCAUCAGCUUGAGCUCUGGGGGAAUGGAAUAAAAAUACCUGUCAGGAAGAAACUGUUGGCAUCCCACCCCCAGGAUGCUGCUUGGACUUCAGGGAGACAGCACGCCAUCUAAGCGUACGAAAAGAAUCCCAGCUGC